UCGAAGAUCUCAAAUAUGUGAGAUUACCUGCUGAACUUAAGCAUAUCAAUAAGCAGAGGAAAAGAAACUAACAAGGAUUUCCCCAGUAACGGCGAGUGAAGCGGAAAGAGCUCAAGAUAAGAAUUCCCACCGUGUUAACUCACGUGGGAAAUUGUGAUCUUGUGAUCCAGUACUAGGUUUUGAUUGCAGUGAAUAGAAGUUCGUUGGAACACGACGCCGUAGAAGGUAAAAGCCCUGUUUCGGAUUCACUAUGUACAAUAAUCAGCCAUACAGUCUGGAUUCAUCGAGUCGUGUUGCUUGGGAGUGCAGCACAAAUUGGGAGGUACAGAUCUUCUAAAGCUAAAUACCGGCGAGAGACCGAUAGCGAACAAGUACCGUGAGGGAAAGAUGAAAAGCACCUGGAAACGGGAGUGAAAUCAGAGCUUGAAAUUGUUAAGAGGCAAAAGCUGGGGAGACUUUUCUAAUUAUUUAUUUAAUGAUGCUUUGUAAGUCGAUGCUGAAAGGUUUACGAUCUUACGAUAUAAAGCCGUCAACGCAGUUUAUCUGAUUACGAGAUAUCGAUAGUAGCCCAAGGUUGUUUGCAUCCCCGCGACAAGCGGCGUGAUGUACAUCUUAACGCAUAUAAGGGCUAUUAUCACACAAGGUGUCUGGGGAUGAACUGUCCGGAUAAAACCGGAUAGUAUAAUACUACUGCUGGGCCGUGCUGUUGCAAUGCGGCGUGUAGAGAAUUCGUUCUAUGCGCGCCGCACUGCGAUAUUCCGCGUUUGCCCACUGAGGUUUAAAAACUAGUUGACGAAUUAUAAAGGCCCUCAACUACCCGUCUUGAAACACGGACCAAGGAGUCUAACAUCUAUGCAAGUAUUAUAGUACAUCAGUCGAAACUAUAAAUGCGCAGUGAAAGCGAAGGCUAAUGUAGAUUAGCUGUAGUGUGAUUUGUUGUAGUCCGCCUUAAACAAGCGGAGCAGCAAUGCAACACUAACCGAUCGUGUUAAAUCUCCCUCAGCAAUGAGGUGAUCCGAUUUGAGUUAGAGCAUAAUCGUUAGGACCCGAAAUCUUGUGAUCUAUUCCCGAACGACGGUGAAGGCAGUUGAAAAAUUGUUGGAGGCCGGGCAACAGUACUAACGUGCAAAUUGUUUGUUUGAUUUGGGACUAGGGGCGAAAGACUAAUCGAACAAGGUAGUAGCUGGUUCCCCCCGAAGUGUUCCUUCGAACAGCUGGCGUGAUGAAAUAUAAAUCCAGUUUUGCCUGGUAAAGCGAAUGAUUAGGCAUUUUGGGAGUUCUUUAUGCUCCUGGGUGCAUUCUCAAACUUUUAAUGGGCAAGAUAUGUAGUCGUUGCAUAAUACCAAUCAUGGAACCUACAUUGUUAACAGAAUGGAAAGCGCUUAGUGGGCCACUUUUGGUAAGCAGAAUUGGCGAUUCGGAUUGAACCGGACGCGUGAGUUAAGGUAUCAAAUUUCUCAUUCAUCUAGAUACUGCAAAAGGUGUUACUCAAUUUUGACAGCAGGACUGUGGUCAUGGAAGUCGAAAUCAGCUAAGAAGUGUGUAAAAACUUACCUGCUUAAUUGAGUAGUCCUGAAAAUGGAAGAUGCUAAAAUGAGAGACCUAUACUCGGCCAUUAUAUAAGCAAUUGUGAAACAAGAGAAGUAUAUAAUGUGUAGGGGGGCGUGGAGAUUCAUUACAAACAUGAUGUCGCGAAGUAUUUACCGUGAGGUAAAACGGAACAAUCUCCAGUGCAGAUCUUGGUGGGAGUAGCAAUGAUUCAAAUGUGAGCCUUUGAAGACUGAAGUGGGGAAAGGUUCCUCGGGAAACGCAUUGUACCGAGGUUUAGUCGAUCCUAACUAUUAAGUUCUAAUCUGAUUUUGAAACGCUGUACGCUGAAGAGUGGUUGGGGUUACGACCUCUUGAUCACAGCCCUGUGUACAAUAUAGGAAAGGGAAUCAGGUUAAUAUUCCUGAACCUUGAAGUGCUUGAAUUACUUUGACCUCUGUUUGUCAAACGCUAAUCGGUAACGAAAGAGACGUCCAAGCCACCAGCGCGAUACCCUGAGAGAGAUCUCUCUUCUUUAUUAACAGCUCUCGACUCCGAUGCGUUCGGGGUGUUAUUUAAUUGGUCAAACAAUUGGAUAGAGACACUGCGGAAAUACCUUGCGUAGAGAAGCAGUUGCUCGGCUGGAAAAGCACUUUCAUUUUUGAUCUGACAAUAUAUUAGAUUCAAGCUAUUGUGAUGAACUUCCCCUAGUUUAUAGUGAAUCGGUGUCGGGUGCUAUCGCAAUGGUACUUAAAAAUUGGACUGAUUGUCUGUGCCAAGUCACUUCAGGUCGUACUCAUAUCCGCAUCAGGUCUCCAAGGUGAACAGCCUCUAGUUUUUGGGUGUAUGCAGGUAAGGGAAGUCGGCAAAUUAGAUCCGUAACUUUGGAAAAAGGAUUGGCUCAAAGGGUAACGGGGGAUUUAAUUAGGUGUGGUGAGUUUGACUACGAAUGGGCAGUGUUGGUUCGCCGCGCUGCACUAAUCACACCCGAUGCCCUCGAUUUAUUACUAACUUUGAACUGAAACGGACAAGAAGAAUCCGACUGUUUAAUAAAAACAUAGCAUUGUGAUGGGGAGAAAGUCCUGUUCACACAAUGUGAUUUCUGCCCAGUGCUUCGAAUAUCAACAUGGAGAAAUUCAAACAAGUGCAGGUAAACGGCGGGAGUAACUAUGACUCUCUUAAGGUAGCCAAAUGCCUAGUCAUUUAAUUUGUGACGCGCAUGAAUGGAGCAACGUGAUUCUUACUGUCCCUAUCUGCGACUCAGCGAAACCACUGCCAAGGGAACGGGCUUGGGGAUGACAAAGGGGAAAUGAGUCCCAAUGUGCUUGACUUCAUUCAGACUUUGCGAAUUGACUCGAUUGGUGUAGAAUAUGUGGGAGAGGCAACUCGAUCGUGAAAUACCACAACUUUUGACGUUAAUUUGCUCACUUUAUUAUUAUGUUGUACACCGCAGCGAUGCGGGGUGCUAUGUAUUUACGUGGUAAGUCCGCGGCGGCAACGUCGGGGGCGAACAUGUUGGUAUAAAGGACCAAGUCUGGUGGGAAGUUUGGCUGGGGCGGCACAUCUGUUAAACAAUAACGCAGGUGUCCUAUGGCGAGCUCAGACAGAACGGAAAUCUGUCGUCGAACAAAAGGGUAAAAGCUCGCUUAAUGAUGAUUUUCAGUACGAAUACUCAUUGAGAAAUCAUGGCCUAUCGAUCCUUUCAUUGAAUUUAUCUUCUAUGAUCUGUAUAGUGAGAGGUGUCAGAAAAGUUACCACAGGGAUAACUGGCUUGUGGCAGCCAAGAGUUCAUAUCGACGUUGCUUUUUGAUUCUUCGAUGUCGGCUCUUCCUAUUCUAGAAUCGCAGCAGGUUCUAUGGAUAAGAUUGUUCAUUUACUAACAGGGAACGUGAGCUGGGUUUAGACCGUCAUGAGACAGGUUAGUUUUACCCUUUUGUCAAAGGGGAGUUUUAAUGGUAAUCCAAGGUAGUACGAGAGGAACUCUUGGUUAACGUCGUUGGUCGUGACAGUUCUCCGUGAGGAGAUGGCUGUAUCGCUAGCAUGUUUUUGGUGAGAGUUGAACGCCUCUAAACUC
rnacentral:rRNA from 1 species